AUUGAACGCUGGCGGCAUGCUUUACACAUGCAAGUCGGACGGUAACAGGCCGCCAGGUGCUGACGAGUGGCGAACGGGUGAGUAAUGCAUCGGAACGUGCACAGUCGUGGGGGAUAACUACUCGAAAGAGUAGCUAAUACCGCAUACGAUCUAUGGAUGAAAGCGGGGGACCGUAAGGCCUCGCGCGAUUGGAGCGGCCGAUGUCAGAUUAGGUAGUUGGUGGGGUAAAGGCUCACCAAGCCAACGAUCUGUAGCUGGUCUGAGAGGACGACCAGCCACACUGGGACUGAGACACGGCCCAGACUCCUACGGGAGGCAGCAGUGGGGAAUUUUGGACAAUGGGCGCAAGCCUGAUCCAGCAAUGCCGCGUGCAGGAAGAAGGCCUUCGGGUUGUAAACUGCUUUUGUACGGAACGAAACGGCUCUGGUUAAUACCCGGGGCUAAUGACGGUACCGUAAGAAUAAGCACCGGCUAACUACGUG
rnacentral:rRNA from 1 species